CAAGUUCCUGUCUUUCUACUGCAAGAGCCCAGUACCCCUCAGACCAGAGAAUGUGGUUGUCCUGAAUGGUGGUGCCUCGCUCUUCUCUGCUCUGGCCACGGUGCUGUGUGAGGCCGGGGAGGCUUUCCUGAUCCCCACCCCUUACUAUGGCGCUAUCACACAGCACGUGUGUCUCUAUGGCAACAUCCGGCUGGCCUAUGUCUACCUGGACAGUGAGGUCACUGGGCUAGACACACGCCCCUUCCAGCUCACAGUGGAGAAGCUGGAGAUGGCCCUGAGAGAAGCUCACUCUGAGGUCUGGGGAUCAAAUCAAACCUGAGGCUGGGUGUGGGUGGGUCUGAGCAGGGUCUGGACCCCUCUUCUUGUGACUGAUCUCCUCCCGGGAGUAGGGUUGAUACCCGGUGAUUGGGACAGACAGGUAGGGUGGUAGCACAGAAUUAUUCUGGGAGUCAGGCAGAACCCUGCCCAGGGAGGGUCUUCCCUUUCAAAACAGACUCUCAGACCUCAGUUCACAGAGAAUCAACCAGGGAGCAUCACUAAAGAUACCCCCAUCCCUGAUCCAUCUGAUUAUGAUUCAGUGGGUCAAGUAUGGAGUACAGGAGUCUGUGGUUUUACAAGUCUCCCUGGUAGUUUGAGGGGGCAACCUUGCUCACUGUGGGGGGAGCUGAGGACUCCCAAAGGAGAGCAGAGACCAGUAUUCCAGUGGUUCCUUUCCAGCCUACUUUUCAAAAAUCUACUUAAUUUUUUUUUACUUCUGUCAUGAAAGCUAUACAUACUCACUGUAGGAAUUUUGAAAGUGCAAAAGGCCAACCCAAAAUUCUACCAACAAAGGUAACCUACUGGUAUUUGGGUAUAUUUUUUCUCUGGGCCUUGUCCUCCGCCUUUAUCUGAUGCUGCAGAUGUAAUUCUGUGUUCCGCUUGUUUGCUUCAUGUUGUGUUAUGAACAUGUCCCCCUCAAAUCUCCCUGGGAGCCUUCCAGCGAUCAGCCCCCUUUGACUGUGUGGCUCUGGCCUUGGGGAAGAGCUGAGGGUCUCCUGCCCUAACGGAUGGUUUCAGGGUGUGAAGGUCAAAGGCCUCAUCCUCAUCAGCCCCCAGAACCCUCUGGGUGAUGUAUACUCCCCUGAAGAGCUACAGGAGUACCUGGUAUUUGCCAAGAGGCACAGGCUGCAUGUGAUUGUGGAUGAGGUCUACAUGCUGUCCGUGUUUGAGAAGUCUGUUGGGUACCGCAGUGUCC
rnacentral:lncRNA from 10 species